CACGUAGGCGGACCAGAAAGUUGGGGGUGAAAUCCCGGGGCUCAACCCCGGAACUGCCUCCAAAACUAUUGGUCUAGAGUUCGAGAGAGGUGAGUGGAAUUCCGAGUGUAGAGGUGAAAUUCGUAGAUAUUCGGAGGAACACCAGUGGCGAAGGCGGCUCACUGGCUCGAUACUGACGCUGAGGUGCGAAAGUGUGGGGAGCAAACAGGAUUAGAUACCCUGGUAGUCC
rnacentral:rRNA from 1 species